rnacentral:rRNA from 1 species
AGUAACACGUGGGUAACCUGCCUUAUAGUGGGGGAUAGCCUUUCGAAAGGAAGAUUAAUACCGCAUAAGAUUGUAGUAUCGCAUGAUAUAGCAAUUAAAGGAGCAAUCCGCUAUAAGAUGGACCCGCGUCGCAUUAGCUAGUUGGUGAGGUAAUGGCUCACCAAGGCGACGAUGCGUAGCCGACCUGAGAGGGUGAACGGCCACAUUGGGACUGAGACACGGUCCAGACUCCUACGGGAGGCAGCAUG